rnacentral:rRNA from 1 species
CCUACGGGAGGCAGCAGUGAGGAAUCUUGCGCAAUGGGGGAAACCCUGACGCAGCAACGCCGCGUGAGUGAGGAAGGCCUUCGGGUCGUAAAGCUCUGUCAGUUGGAAAGAAAUGCUUGAGAGUUAAUACCUUUCAAGCUUGACGGUACCAACAGAGGAAGCACCGGCUAACUCCGUGCCAGCAGCCGCGGUAAU